GAUCAUGGCUCAGAUUGAACGCUGGCGGCAUGCUUUACACAUGCAAGUCGAACGGUAACAGGCCUUCGGGUGCUGACGAGUGGCGAACGGGUGAGUAAUGCAUCGGAACGUGCCCAGAGGUGGGGGAUAACGCAGCGAAAGCUGUGCUAAUACCGCAUACGCCCUGAGGGGGAAAGCGGGGGAUCGAAAGACCUCGCGCGAUUAGAGCGGCCGAUGCCUGAUUAGCUUGUUGGUGGGGUAAAAGCCCACCAAGGCGACGAUCAGUAGCUGGUCUGAGAGGACGAUCAGCCACACUGGGACUGAGACACGGCCCAGACUCCUACGGGAGGCAGCAGUGGGGAAUUUUGGACAAUGGGGGAAACCCUGAUCCAGCAAUGCCGCGUGAGUGAAGAAGGCCUUCGGGUUGUAAAGCUCUUUUGUCAGGGAAGAAACACCGGCUCUAACACAGUCCGGGAAUGACGGUACCUGAAGAAUAAGCACCGGCUAACUACGUG
rnacentral:rRNA from 1 species